AGCGAACGCUGGCGGCAGGCCUAACACAUGCAAGUCGAACGGAUCCUUCGGGAUUAGUGGCGGACGGGUGAGUAACACGUGGGAACGUGCCCUUUGGUUCGGAACAACUCAGGGAAACUUGAGCUAAUACCGGAUGUGCCCUUCGGGGGAAAGAUUUAUCGCCAUUGGAGCGGCCCGCGUCUGAUUAGCUAGUUGGUGAGGUAAAGGCUCACCAAGGCGACGAUCAGUAGCUGGUCUGAGAGGAUGAUCAGCCACAUUGGGACUGAGACACGGCCCAAACUCCUACGGGAGGCAGCAGUGGGGAAUCUUGCGCAAUGGGCGAAAGCCUGACGCAGCCGUGCCGCGUGAAUGAUGAAGGUCUUAGGAUUGUAAAAUUCUUUCACCGGGGACGAUAAUGACGGUACCCGGAGAAGAAGCCCCGGCUAACUUCGUGCCAGCAGCCGCCGUAACAC
rnacentral:rRNA from 1 species